rnacentral:misc_RNA from 1 species
AUAUUCCUAUUAGGUUUAGGAGUCUAAAACACUGUAAAUAAACUUAUUUACAUGUAAUCUGGGGAGACGGAUGGUUAUCAAUAAAAAUAUUGCAGAGAAUUUUCUCUAUUUUUCACUCUUAUGCAUAGAGUGUAUUUCUAUUUGAGUUUCACGCUGCAUCAAAUUUAGUUUUGCACAUGUAUGACUAAUCUUCAGUGGCCUUCGUAAAAUUGCAUUCUAUGGUUAUAGUCUGCAUUUAUCACAUUAUUGGUAGUUCUUGGUGUCUCUUGGAAUUUAUGGAUGUGUACCACUAGCAUGAAGUAAAUGCAAAUCUUGGAAUAAAUUCAUUAUUGAAUCUGAAAAAGCAUAUAUUGGGAAGUUUGUUCAUAUUGCUAACAUUAGUUGUUAUGACAACAUAGAUUUGGUACUUUCUGCUUUGACAAUUAGUGACUAGAAAUGACUGAAGGUUUUUUUUUUUUCUUUUUUUCGUGUUUGGCAGGCUCGGCAUUGGGAUUCCUUCUAUAACUUCUACCGGAACACCACUGAUAACAAGUUUGAUCCAUACCAUCAAGAUCUUUUUUCGUGCUUUUGAACAAAAUUUAUGCACUUCUAUAUAAUUGCUAGAAAUCUGCUUGUUAUACUUUGUUGAAUCACAUGAGAUGCUUCAAAUGCCGCAUCGUUGAUGUAUUGUUUGGUAUUUUCAUAGGUGGGGCAGUCCUUAUCUCACAAAGGAUUUCUUUCAUAUCAUGGGAUCAAAGAUGGGAGAUCAGGUGUUACUUGUUGUUGCUGAAGAAGGGGAUGAAUUUGUUGCAGGAGCUCUUAAUCUUAUCGGUGGAGAUACCCUGUUUGGGCGACUGUGGGGAUGUCACCCAAGAGCCUAUUAUCCUAGUUUGCACUUUGAAGCAUGCUAUUACCAGGCUAUAGAAGCAGCUAUUGAACUUAAUCUGAGCACAGUUGAAGCAGGAGCUCAGGGUGAACAUAAAAUUCAGCGUGGUUAUCUUCCUGUGACAACUUACAGCUGCCAUUACCUUGUUGAUGAUGCUUUCAGGAAAGCUAUAGAGGAAUUUCUAGCGCGAGAAUCAUCUCAGGUACUCCCCAUAUAUGCUGCAUUUUGGAUUCCUGUCUUUUUCAAUGAUUUUAGCUUUCCUCAUCAAUGAACUGCAUUAACACUCUUGCAGUCGGAUAGGGAAAUAAUACAUCAGGCCAUUUAUUCUAGAAUUAUUUUUCACUCUGUUGCUUCUCUCCUAAAAUUUCAUUAAGUGAAGUCAUUGAAGGUUAAUUAUUGAUGCGUUCAUAUUUGUAUUUGAGAGAGGAAUUUCUUUUGCUAAAAUCUUAAUUUUGGAUGAGGGUGACUUUGGUAUAAUAAUAAAGUUAUUCGAUUAGUGACCUGAAGGUCACGGGUUCAAGCCAUGAAAACAAUUUUUGCAAAGCAGAAGUGAGGCCCUCCCCAAAGCUCACAAGUGUGAGACGCUUCUUCAUGUGUUGGAUAACCCCUUUAAAGUCUUUAAUGGGGAAUAAUGGUUAGAAUUAUGUUUAUGAAAUCUGAAAGUCCAUCUGAGAGUCCAGUUUUCUCAUUGAAAAGAAUGGAAUGUUUUCUAUGUGGCUUUGCCUAACUAAUGAUUCUCCUUUGCAGGUCAAUCUUGUAAUGAAGCUAAUACGUGAUUCUGGUCCCUUUAAGGAGGGGAUACAAUAGACGAGCAAUGGUGUAGACGUAAAUAAAAUUAGUAGUUGGUCUUUGUAAUCAUUCUGUAAAUUUAUACUUCCAAGAAUUUGUAUAUAUAUAUAUAGAAGUAGAACAGCACUUUUUGUACAUUUUUGGAAAAAGAAAACAUAGAUAUAUUAUUUAAGAAAAUUUUU